rnacentral:rRNA from 1 species
GAUGAACGCUGGCCGCGUGCCUAAUACAUGCAAGUAGAACGCUGAAGGAGGAGCUUGCUCUUCUGGAUGAGUUGCGAACGGGUGAGUAACGCGUAGGUAACCUGCCUGGUAGCGGGGGAUAACUAUUGGAAACGAUAGCUAAUACCGCAUGACAACAGUUAUUGCAUGAUAACUGUUUAAAAGGGGCAACUGCUCCACUACCAGAUGGACCUGCGUUGUAUUAGCUAGUUGGUGAGGUAACGGCUCACCAAGGCGACGAUACAUAGCCGACCUGAGAGGGUGAUCGGCCACACUGGGACUGAGACACGGCCCAGACUCCUACGGGAGGCAGCAGUAGGGAAUCUUCGGCAAUGGACGGAAGUCUGACCGAGCAACGCCGCGUGAGUGAAGAAGGUUUUCGGACCGUAAAGCUCUGUUGUAAGAGAAGAACGAGUGUGAGAGUGGAAAGUUCACACUGUGACGGUAUCUUACCAGAAAGGGACGGCUAACUACGUG